ACUCAAGGAGUCCUUCGAUGUUUUCUGAGUCUGCAUGCUUUAGAUCCCACAUCCUAGCAUCUUUUACACAGUGACUCCUUGUAUACUAUUUUAUGCAAAUUAAAUUAUCUGUCUACAGGCACAAUAGUAUUUUUAAUAGUUUGAAGACUUUCAUUCGAGUAUAUAUCAGUUACAUGUUUCAGAUGUCUUGCCAUGUAUUCCUACGUAUUGAUACAAAGUUCGAUUUCUAUUAGACAAACAAGCCAGUUUCUUAAAUGAUAAUGAAAUAUGUAUAAGGCUUUUUAGUGAACAACAUUCUCUCACAUCCAGAUUGAGCAUGUUUUUAGUGUUGGGUUGGUUUUUUUUUUUUUUUUUAAUCCUAUACGUUUUCCUAAAAAUAGUUUACCAAAAGCAAAGCCUGUUUUAAUUUAAUUAUACUUUAAAAAUCCAUCAUCUGCCAGCCAUUAGUUACAGUAACAUGAGAAUUUGAAAUUCUAGUCAGCAAAAGAGAAAUCCCAAAUUAAAGAAAUGUCACCAUCAAGAUGCAGAAAUACAUCUCUUUGCCGGUCUUCCCACCUGCACUUCUUGUGCUGGGUAUUUCACAGUUAAUGGUGAACAGGAAGGAUCUGGAGGCGACCUGGUGCUUUGGGAGGUGGGGUGGAGGGCUCGGCUGGGCGCCUUGCAAUGACGGCAUCCUCUUGAUGCUGAUACAGAAGGAAGGGUCAUAGCCAUGCCAGGACAGUGACAGCAGGGGCAGCUGCCACCGCCCCCUCCCCUGGCACAUGCCACUUGACUCAGUGCCUAAAGAUAACAAAACAGAGCCAUAGGAAAACAGAAGAAUUCCAUUAGCCGGAGCAGUCGUCCUCAGGAAGAGGCACACAGGCUUCAACCUGCCAAAGUUCCCCCAACGUGUGUUCCUUGCCAUGACACCGCUGCAGUCCUUCCUGGUCUUUUGUUAACUGAUCACCUGUCUGGGCAGCAAGAAUUGACAGCUUCAACUGGAAAACUCAUUUAGGUGGAGUUCUGAGCAAGUCUGCUAAUGAUGAACUUCCUUCUUCAGUCCCAUACGACUGGAUACACCUCUGCAUUUAAAGAUAGAAUGAAGGGCCUGUGAAAAAGAGGGAACUCCCCAGACGAACGCAGGGAAGGGGAGAAGGUCAGGCCCCCGCGGGAGGAGCGUGUGUGGUCCUUUCUGCGCAGGAGCAAAGCAAGCCAGGGCUCGAAAAGGUUCUUGACAGAAACCGUCUCCAGUGUUUCCAUUGCCUCAACGCAGCUCGGAGGACUUCUCUGCCCACUGUGGUCUGGCUGCCCCCCCGCUCCCGGCACCCACUCCUCCUGGAAGGGCUGCUCCUGCCAAGGUCGUCAACAACCUCCUUGCUCCAGACCAUGCCCAGCGCGCCUCCUUGGUCCGCACUGUCCUUGGCAUCCUGUCUCCGGGGACCAGCUCCCAGGCUCGGCUCCUGCCUCUGCACCGCCUCCCUCUCCAUCUCUGUUGCAGGCUCUCCUUCCCACCCCCGGCCUUGAACACAGCCCUCCUCUGCUUUUUCCCCAUCACAACGGGGCUAUUUCUCCUGUGUGUCGCAGGCACCGAAUUUCAUUAUGUCACAAGCGGAGCGAUGCCUCUCAUACCCCCACCCAUACCUGCCCAGACCUGAGAGCUGCUGUCCUAUGCUCCCCGCCCAGGAAAGCCACCAUCGUCCACAAGGGGGCUUGUCCCCUCCCCCCCCCCCGUCCCCCACAAAUCGUUGCCCAGAGCUGCCCUUGACCUUUCAGAUCCCCUCACCUCUGCCUCCUUCCAUCCACCCCGGAUGCCACGAUUCCUGCCUGGAUUCCUGGAAGUGCCCCCUCACUAGUCUCCCUUCUCUCCAACCACUUCUCCAAACCACAGACCGAAUGCUCUUUCUAAAAUGAAAAUCUUGGAGUUCCCAUGGUGGCUCAGCAGGUGAAGAACCCAACAUAGUGUCCAUGAGGAUGCGGGUUCGAUUCCUGGCCUCGCUCAGUGGGUUAA